CAAAAUGUGAUAAAAAGAAUAAGAUUGUUUCACGCUCAACACUUUCUAUUGUUUUGG
rnacentral:tRNA from 1 species